AUGUUUUUGCAGGGCGCCGCCGACGUUCCAUGCACUCUCCUGCACUUCGUGAACGGCGAGUUGGUCGAUGUCGCCAAGGGCAGAAUCAUUCAACCAGGCAGCCGCGUGUUCCACGGUAAUCAGAUGCCACCCACCGUUUAUAGGGUUGAACUGGUUCGGGUGCUGUCGGGCUUCAACGACAUGUUACCUCCUUAUCGACCCCAUGGGGCCGACGAAGAUGAUGUGAUGACCCUCAGCGCCUGCAUAAGCUGGCACAUGCUUUGGCCGAAGAGCCAGAUUCGUUUCGGGGCGGGGGACACCACCCCACAGACAACACCGCCAGUCGUGCCGGCGCCAAGCCAUGGCAAGACCCCUGCAAUGCUACCGGACAUGCUAGACAUGCAUAUGGCACAGGAUCCGGACAUGCAUAUGGCACAGGAUACGGACGACGACGACGGUACAUUUACCAAUGUCGAUAAGUACUUCAACGAACAUGGCGGGUACGGUGACGAAUUCUUGGGGCCUCCUUCUCAAGAACCCAACCCUGCAAAAGACGAUCGCGAUCUAGCUGGUACCGUGGAGAAAUCCAAUUGCAACAGGCGUCGUCUGGCGUUCAGUUCUCAGGAGACGCCUCCAGCUGCCGCCUUCACUGAGCCUCAGAUAGACGAGGUGCGAAAUAUUAUCAGCCCCAACACACUCAAGAAGGUGGUCUCUGAGCAGAACUCGAUCCCAUUACAACAGAAGAAGAAGGGACAGAAAAGAAAGACCAACAAGGGUGCGAGCCAGCCGGCACCGAGUACGAUCCGUGCUCAGGACGGACCACCUUCACCUAAGGAUAUCUCGAGGAGGGUGCAUGUGGUGUGUAGGCCGAUGCUACCGACUAAUAUGCUCAAUGCUGCAACCGGUGCUAUGCGGAGUCUGCAUGACAGUGUUCUUUCUUUGGAGAAGCUGCGUCUCUGA
rnacentral:rRNA from 1 species